UCCGGUUUGUCACCGGCAGUCUCCCAUGAGUUCCCAACUAAAUGAUGGCAACUAGGGACAAGGGUUGCGCUCGUUGCGGGACUUAACCCAACAUCUCACGGCACGAGCUGACGACAGCCAUGCACCACCUGUGCAGGCUCCGAAGAGCACCCGCUUUCACGGGUUUCACCCUGCAUGUCAAGCCCAGGUAAGGUUCUUCGCGUCGCAUCGAAUUAAACCACAUGCUCCACCGCUUGUGCGGGCCCCCGUCAAUUCCUUUGAGUUUCAGCCUUGCGGCCGUACUCCCCAGGCGGGGCACUUAAUGCGUUAGCGCCGGCACUCAGGGGGUCGCUCCCCCAAGCACCUAGUGCCCAUCGUUUACGGCGUGGACUAC
rnacentral:misc_RNA from 1 species